rnacentral:SRP_RNA from 1 species
GCCGAGCUCAGUAGUGUUGGCUUGUAACCCGAGCGGGGGCAUUUUUUUUUUAAAAAAAAGAACGGACAGAAUCAAAAGGGUUAAUUUAGAUGAACGCGUCUGAUAAGAUUGCAUGUUUUCAUUUUUAUUAUAAGAAAA